GACGAACGCUGGCGGCGUGCUUAACACAUGCAAGUCGAACGGAAAGGCCCUGCUUAUGUGGGGUGCUCGAGUGGCCAACGGGUGAGUAACACGUGAGUUCCCUACCAUUGCCCUUGGGAUAACUUAAGGAAACUGGGGGUAUUCCCGGCUAGGAGCUACUGCCGCUUGGUGGGGGCUGGUUGGAUUCGGUGGUUGGGGAUGGACUCGCGGCCUAUCAGCUUGUUGGUGUGGUAGUGUCUUACCAAGGCUAUGCCCGGUAGCCGACCUGCGCGGGUGACCGGCCACAUUGGAACGGGAAUGCGGCCCAGACUCCUACGGGAGGCAGCGGAGGGGAGUAUUACACAAUGGGCGGAAGCCUGAUGCGGCAAAGCAGCGUGCGGGAUGACGUCCUUCGGGUUGUAAUCCGCAGUCGCCUGUGACGAAGCGUGAAUGACGGUAAUGGGUAAAGAAGCACCGGCUAACUACGUG
rnacentral:rRNA from 1 species